GAAUGACGUCAUCGCGCAGCGCAUUGAAAAGCGACCCACUCCUUCCGUUCCUUCUCAUUCGACCUGCAGUUUCUCACGUAGUGAGGCGGCUCCUGUUUUUGAAAAGCAAGUUACACUUAAGAUGUCUGACGAAGGUAAACUGUUCAUCGGAGGCCUGAGCUUCGAGACCAACGAGGACUCUCUGGCUGCGGCCUUCGGGAAAUACGGAACGAUCGAAAAAGUCGAUGUCAUCCGAGACAAAGAGACGGGAAAGUCUCGUGGUUUCGGCUUUGUGAAAUACGAUAAUCCCGAUGAUGCUAAAGAUGCAUUGGACGCCAUGAACGGCAAGACUCUAGAUGGUCGUGCCAUUCGCGUGGAUGAGGCAGGAAAGGGAGGACGCUCAAGAGGUGGUUUUGGUUCAGGCCCACGAGGUGGCAGGUUCAGUGGACCCAGGGGUGGAAGAGGUGGGCGUGGUUACUCACGAGGUGAGAACUUGUUACCAGAAAUACAUAAAUUUUUUGUUAAGUGUCGAUUUAUCUUUUUUCGAUGUGGAUGGCUUCCAGGUGGAUACAGUGGAGACAGGGGUUAUGGUGACAGGAGCUAUGGCGACAGAAGCUUCGGAGGUGGAGAGAGGAGCUUUGGUGGUGGUGGAUACAGGAGUGGAGGUUACUCCUCAAGUGGCUACAGAGAUAACAGGGGUCAGGGUGGCUAUGGUGACCGGUCUGGAUCCUACCGUGAUGCAUAUGACAGUUAUGACUGAAUGGAUUCUUGGAUGCUUGACUGGUUCUCCUGGCAGCUGAGGUGUGACUUCAGAUGGAGGUGGCUGAUUCAGAUGCCAGAUCCAAUAUGCAGCAGCGGUGGCGCAGCUGUAAGAAGUCGCUACAUAGAGGAAACAUGGUGACUAAAAGUUGAAGGCUGUUUUGAAUGGCAGAGGGCUUGCCUGAGAAAUGCAUUUUUCAGAUGUUAUGACUGUUGCUCAUUUAUAUCUAAAUGAGAAAUGGAUAGUAAAAUAGACACGUGCUUUAAGAACAUGUUGGGUAGCCUAUAUUAAAGUAAUUUGAUGCACUGGACACUUGAGUGUGAUUGUUUGACAACCAUUAAACUGCCUUCAUUUCUUAAGCAGGGGAUCGGCCUCAGAACCAAAUUACCUUGACCAUGAUUGAUUCAUUACAUCAGUAAAAGGGUAAAACAUCAAGGGGUGAAUAGUUUUAGGCACUAUAGAAGUACAACAUAGGUACACCCCAUAUUUUGAGUUUAUCAUAUUUAAGAAUUCAUUGCUAUAACAUUGUAGAAAAGUAAAAACAUGCAUGUCAUGGUUUCUUUAAUCAUUACAGCAAGAAAUCCCAAAGCAGAAACUCAAGUCAAUUAAUAUCAGUUCAAAACUGUGUUCAUCAAUUUAAGACUGAACAGAUCAUGUUAAUUGCUAUUGUAAGCAGAAUAUUGGUGGCAGUCUAGUUUUAUCAAAUUGUUUUAAACAAGUGCACCUUAUAAGCUCAGUGGAUGACAGUGUACCAGUAAUGUAACAAAAAAAAAAAA